rnacentral:rRNA from 1 species
CAAACGACUCUCGNCAACGGAUAUCUCGGCUCUCGCAUCGAUGAAGAACGUAGCGAAAUGCGAUACCUGGUGUGAAUUGCAGAAUCCCGCGAACCAUCGAGUCUUUGAACGCAAGUUGCGCCCGAGGCCUUCGGGUCGAGGGCACGCCUGCCUGGGCGUCACGC